rfam:Triticum aestivum genome assembly, contig: Triticum_aestivum_CS42_TGACv1_scaffold_502094_6BL
CACAUACUCCCUCCGUUCGGAAUUAUUUGUCUCGGAAGUGGAUGUAUCUAGAUCUAAUAUACGUCUAGAUACAUCCAUUUCUGCGACAAGUAAUUCCGAACGGAGGGAGUAAUAC